rnacentral:rRNA from 1 species
GACGAACCGUGCGAACGUUGUUCGGAAUCACUGGGCUUAAAGGGCGCGUAGGCGGCCCGCCGCGUCCGGGGUGAAAUCCUCCCGCUCAACGGGAGAACGGCCUCGGAUACGGGCGGGCUGGAGGGGGGUAGGGGCACGCGGAACUGUGGGUGGAGCGGUGAAAUGCGUUGAGGUCCACAGGAACUCCGGUGGCGAAGGCGGCGUGCUGGACCCCACCUGACGCUGAGGCGCGAAAGCCAGGGGAGCGAACGGG